rnacentral:rRNA from 1 species
GGCUCAUGAUGAACGGCUGGCGGCGUGCUUAACACAUGCAAGUCGAACGAUGAUGCUGGUGCUUGCACUGGUGGAUUAGUGGCGAACGGGUGAGUAACACGUGAGUAACCUGCCCCUGACUUCGGGAUAAGCCCGGGAAACUGGGUCUAAUACCGGAUAUGACUUCCUGCUGCAUGGCAGGGGGUGGAAAGAUUUAUCGGUUGGGGAUGGACUCGCGGCCUAUCAGCUUGUUGGUGAGGUAAUGGCUCACCAAGGCGACGACGGGUAGCCGGCCUGAGAGGGUGACCGGCCACACUGGGACUGAGACACGGCCCAGACUCCUACGGGAGGCAGCAGUGGGGAAUAUUGCACAAUGGGCGAAAGCCUGAUGCAGCGACGCCGCGUGAGGGAUGACGGCCUUCGGGUUGUAAACCUCUUUCAGUAGGGAAGAAGCCCCUUUUGGGGGUGACGGUACUUGCAGAAGAAGCGCCGGCUAACUACGUGCCAGCAGCCGCGGUAAUACGUAGGGCGCAAGCGUUAUCCGGAAUUAUUGGGCGUAAAGAGCUCGUAGGCGGUUUGUCGCGUCUGCCGUGAAAGUCCGAGGCUCAACCUCGGAUCUGCGGUGGGUACGGGCAGACUAGAGUGAUGUAGGGGAGACUGGAAUUCCUGGUGUAGCGGUGAAAUGCGCAGAUAUCAGGAGGAACACCGAUGGCGAAGGCAGGUCUCUGGGCAUUUACUGACGCUGAGGAGCGAAAGCAUGGGGAGCGAACAGGAUUAGAUACCCUGGUAGUCCAUGCCGUAAACGUUGGGCACUAGGUGUGGGGGACAUUCCACGUUUUCCGCGCCGUAGCUAACGCAUUAAGUGCCCCGCCUGGGGAGUACGGCCGCAAGGCUAAAACUCAAAGGAAUUGACGGGGGCCCGCACAAGCGGCGGAGCAUGCGGAUUAAUUCGAUGCAACGCGAAGAACCUUACCAAGGCUUGACAUGUUCCAGACCGGGCCAGAGAUGGUCUUUCCCCUUUUGGGGCUGGUUCACAGGUGGUGCAUGGUUGUCGUCAGCUCGUGUCGUGAGAUGUUGGGUUAAGUCCCGCAACG